AUUGAACGCUAGCGGGAUGCCUUACACAUGCAAGUCGAACGAGUGGCGAACGGGUGAGUAAUGUAUCGGAACGUGCCCAGUAGCGGGGGAUAACUACGCGAAACGUAGCUAAUACCGCAUACUAUUGGAGCGGCCGAUAUCGGAUUAGCUAGUUGGUGGGGUAACGGCUCACCAAGGCGACGAUCCGUAGCUGGUUUGAGAGGACGACCAGCCACACUGUGACUGAGACACGGCCCAGACUCCUACGUAAAGCAGCAGUUGGGAAUGUUGGGCAAUGGGGGAAAACCAGAUACAGCCGUCGCGCAUGUGCGAUAUAGACCGUCGGGGUGUGGAGCACUUUUUGCGAGGCGGGGGAACCCGCAACAUGAGCACGGGCUAGCUACGUGCCAGCAGCCGCGGUAAUAC
rnacentral:rRNA from 1 species